GCGUUUUAACCAGCUUCACCGAAUUCAUAUGGCACAACAAUGAUCACAAAAAAAUUAGAUUUUAACGUCUCAUGUGUGCAGCAGUGCGUCAUUUUGAUCGGUUUCAUUAAAGUGAUGAUCAGCUAGUGGGGAUCAGCUAGUUAUACUACGUUAGCUAAAUAGCAUUCUCUGGAACCUGGAGAUUUCUUCACAUCAUAUGACUGUAUCUUCCCACAACUGCUUUUUUCCUGAUACCCCAAGGGUACGACCAUAAAUAAGCAAGGGGAAAGCAGAGAGGGUUACAGACAGACAGGUUGGACCACAGCAUAGAUAGUACCAUGGCAGGGAAUCAAACCCUCAACCGGGCGGGGGAGAGGGGCAACUUGUAAAUGGUCAAGGAAUCGGCUGCCUCACGGACUAUGCCGUACACUUUGCCUGAAAGCCCAACUGUAACACAGGACUUUGACAUCGGAACAUGUCAUAAGAAAGGUUUCAGCCUUUCAGUCUGUGUUGGUUCAGCUGCGUUCAGUUACUCUGAGGUACAAUUACAUUUCCCCACAGGUAAAAAAAAAAAGGUCCAGUUAUGGUGGAUUGUUAUCUUGUUUACUCCUUCUGAGUCGCACGCAGCUGCAGCUGCGGCUGGCAGGAAGUGCUUCCUGAGAAGACUUCCUAUCGGACAAGGGGAAUGGGGUCUUACGGCAUUGCCCCCUCCUGACGGCACAAUUUGUUCUGGCAGUAACCCGCAGCAACAGGACUAGAAUGGCUGAGUCAGCGAGGAGUCUUCAGUUUAAUCAGCUCUUGGUAUUUGUCACCUAAAACAUCUGCCACAGUAAAGAUGAUCAGCAAAG